UGCUCAAGAUCCGAGCAACGGACUCGUCAUCCGCCGGCCGUGGGUUCGAGUCCCACCCGCUCCA
rnacentral:tRNA from 1 species